rnacentral:rRNA from 1 species
ACUUACGGCCAUAUCACAUUGAAUACACUGGUUCUUGUCCGAUCACUGAUGUUAAGCAACAUCAAGCCUAGUGAGUUCCUAGAUGGGUGACCGCUUGGGCAAUCUAGGUGCUGUAACCA